CUACGGGUUGCUCCAGUGGGGGAUAUUGCACAAUGGAGGAAACUCUGAUGCAGCAACGCCGCGUGGAGGAUGACACUUUUCGGAGCGUAAACUCCUUUUAUAUAGGAAGAACAUGACGGUACUAUAUGAAUAAGCGCCGGCUAACUCCGUGCCAGCAGCCGCGGUAAUACGGAGGGCGCAAGCGUUACUCGGAAUCACUGGGCGUAAAGAGCGUGUAGGCGGAUUAAAAAGUCAGAAGUGAAAUCCUAUAGCUUAACUAUAGAACUGCUUCUGAAACUCUUAAUCUAGAAUGUGGGAGAGGUAGAUGGAAUUUCUGGUGUAGGGGUAAAAUCCGUAGAGAUCAGAAGGAAUACCGAUUGCGAAGGCGAUCUACUAGAACAUUAUUGACGCUGAGACGCGAAAGCGUGGGGAGCAAACAGGAUUAGAUACCCCCGUAGUC
rnacentral:rRNA from 1 species